GGAGGUCUCCAGGUAAACAGAACACGAAACGACUCCUUGGCGAUCGAUCGCGAGAGCGAUCGAUUCCGACCGCGCGUAGCGCACCUCCUGUUCCCUUUCCUUUUCUAGCUCGUUUCCUUUUUUCCUCCGCCGCAGCUGCCCUGCCGCUUCCCUCCCCCCUCCUCGCUGUCGGCUCCUCCCACCGCCGCCGCACUCAUCGCCGUGAACACCGCCGCCGCACUCAUCGCCGUGAACACUGCCGCAUCCCCAUCCACACAGCCCCGCCUAGGGCUGCUGGUACAUUCCCCACCACCACGCCGCCGCACCCGCUUCCCCUACCCACGCCGACUGAGACGGAGGGAGGGAGGACAUGGUCGUUGGGGGCCGCCACACGCCUGGAUCUGGGUGCCAUCGUGCACAUCCGGCCGGAUCUGGCCGCCGCCGCGCUCGUCCGUGCUGGAUCUGGCCGCCACAAUCGAGGAUCGGUGGAGGAGCACAGGUCGCGGCUUGGUUGUGGAGGAGGGAAAGGGAGCACGGGGCGGCACCAUUGCGGCUGGAGCAGGGCUUCGGUUCGAGGGUGGCGGACAUGGCUGCGUCGUGUACGUGGGGGAGAAGGACGACCGUGCACCCCGGCGUUCUCUGCGUGGUGGUAGUCAUGCGCCGUGCCACAUCGAGACUGGGUGUAGCACGAGCGGCCGUUGUGGCUGGGAGGUUAUCUGCUCAUCGUCCAUCUGGAGAGGAAGCAGAAUGACUCAUGACGUUACAUAGUCGCCUACGAGCCAAUGAUGAGCAAACGAGGCAGCGAAUCGUGCAGCUGUAGGCUUGCAGCAGGUUGGCGGGCGAAUGGUCAUAAAGAGAAGAUAACAGGCAUGUCGAGUGCUGUGAGUAUUCCAUUCAUUUAGACAACUACGUUUCCAAGAUCAUCAAGAGAUCAUAGUGUGACAGAUGGGAGAACACACACACACCUCAAUGGAUGACAUAUUAUAAUUACGGAGACUAGUUGUAAGGAUAAUGGAGUGCAAUUUUCUGAUUCAGUGAUCUGCAGGUUUGAAGAACUAAUAUUGUGUAGAAAAUGGCAAUCGAAUUAUUUAGAUUUAAUAAAUUAGAUUUAAGGAUAAAUUAGUUGGUGCAUUUCAUUAUCAAGGACUAAUAGUAUCAAUAUACUAGGAGCAAUAUGUAGCAAACAAUUCAAAAUUUAAGGAAUGAUCCAUCUUACCCCUCAAGAAGAAGGAAUAAUCCAUUUUAAUAUGUUCCUUUAUAUAUGCGGAGAACUUCUUAGUAGUUCGUAUGUCAAGAUGUUUGGAUACUGAAUAAUGGUGCUCUUUCUAAUAAUCAGGCAGACUGUACCCAUUGCCAGUUUAUGUGUGUCUGUAAUUUUUUGUGGUAUAUCGAGCAAUUGUCCUUGAAAAAUUGAAAUAACUGAGAUAUCCACAGAAAUGAAAGCUGCAGCCUGCAGCGAUAUGGUUCCUAAUUCAUAUAACGUAGAGAGGACGUUAGGAGUGGAAUGGUCAUCACUUAUUGUAGCAGUUUUCUGAAAAAGUAACAUCUUUUCAUGCAGUGACAUUAAUGUGGCCAUUGAGAAUUUGAGAAGUAAUUUUCAGGAAAAGUGUAUCUUUCAUCUUGCAUAAAGAUUGCAUCCUUAACUUCUCUUUCUUUCCAGUUCUACUAAUUUUCUGUUUGGUAGGUGGGUACCAUAUCAUUUUUUUUAUUUAGGAAACAUUAUUUAGGGUUAAGUCUUGGUUGGUGAACUGUUCCUCAGCUAUGAACUCUUUUUUACAUUCACCAAAUGUUAUUGGAACUAUGUAUAGUUCCUCUUGAGCGUGAUUAUUCAACAAUUUAGAACUGUAAAUGAUAUGUUCUUGAAGAAUAUAAAGUAAAAGUAGUAUUGUCAUGUACUUUGGUUUAACCUACAGUGUAAUUUUUGUUAACACAUAGUCUGUGUUUCACUAAUGUGAACUAAGACUUUCAUGUACUGUGUAUGACAGCUGCAUUUGUACCGACUGAUUAUAAUGUGCUUUGCUGCAUUUGUACCGACUGAUUAUAAUGUGCUUUGCUUCUCAUCGCACAACUGAUAAUUUUCUGAAAUACUCACUCUAUUUUAAUCAAGGCGUUGCAGGUGUUGUCACUGUAGGAGGUAAGUUUUGCAGCCAAAAUGCACCACUGAUUGCGUCUGGACAAUCGAGGAAUAGCACAAUAAAUUCUUCUUCUUUUCCAUUAACUUGCAGCUUAGGAUUUGGCUAAUAUUUUGCAUCUUAUACUAUUAUAAUUUUGAUGACUAGUUCUAAUAUAGAAUAGCCUCCUUUUGUCUGUAACAGGUACUUGAUUGUUUGAGUAGCCACUCGUAGGGUCUGCUUUUUUCUAGUAGUUUCAUGCCAGGUUCUGUAAAGUUCAUUUGAUAAUUUUGCUUGGUAAAUGAAAAGGUUCAUUUUUUUUCAAUGACUGAACAAAAACUUGACCACCGACAGUUCUAGUCCUUUACUGUUUGGACUCUACGAUAUUAAUUGACUUCCCUAAACAUGUGUAACCGGCCCUGAUUUAUUGCUUAACUUACUUGGGAAGUGAAACACAAACCAAAGGAACUCUGAAUAAGCAUAGCUCAUAGCUCAGCUCUAAAAUUUUACUGUGCCAAUCUUGAGAUAUCUGCAUGGAGUUCUUUUUCUACAUACUUUUAGUCAUUCUGAAUUUUUCAUAUGACCUUCCUGAAAUUGUGUGCACUUUGUUUUUUCUACAUGAAUCCUGUACAAUACAUGUACUUGUCAAUUGACUUAAUUUCCUCUUCAGGUUGUCAACGUUGCUGCAAGGCUGGACAAGUCACCUUUUUGAAACCAUUUUGCUUCACUCGUUUUGAAGACCAUAUACAAGUUUCAUUUUUACUUUAUAUUUUAUUGACCAGAAAGGCUACAAAGUACGGGUGCUAAAUUAGAAUGGACUUUUCAUAUGUAGCCAGUAUGUUGCACAUAUCUUACUUGUGGAAAUGAUUUAUUACAAGGGUUGUAAUAUUAUAAAUGUGAAGGACAUAUGUUGAAUUUUCUAUUGUUGGGUAUGAAUGGAUUUGAAUGCUAAGUUGAGAUA